rnacentral:rRNA from 1 species
GACGAACGCUGGCGGCGUGCCUAAUACAUGCCAGUCGAACGCAUUUUCUUUCACCGUAGCUUGCUACACCGAAAGAAAAUGAGUGGCGAACGGGUGAGUAACACGUGGGUAACCUGCCCAUCAGCGGGGGAUAACACUUGGAAACAGGUGCUAAUACCGCAUAAUUCCAUUUACUGCAUGGUAGAUGGAUGAAAGGCGCUUUUGCGUCACUGAUGGAUGGACCCGCGGUGCAUUAGCUAGUUGGUGGGGUAACGGCCUACCAAGGCUGCGAUGCAUAGCCGACCUGAGAGGGUGAUCGGCCACACUGGGACUGAGACACGGCCCAGACUCCUACGGGAGGCAGCAGUAGGGAAUCUUCGGCAAUGGACGCAAGUCUGACCGAGCAACGCCGCGUGAGUGAAGAAGGUUUUCGGAUCGUAAAACUCUGUUGUUAGAAAAGAACAAGGAUGAGAGUGGAAAGUUCAUCCCUUGACGGUAUCUAACCAGAAAGCCCCGGCUAACUACGUG